rnacentral:rRNA from 1 species
CCUACGGGGGGCAGCAGUGAGGAAUAUUGGUCAAUGGUCGGGAGCCUGAACCAGCCAAGCCGCGUGAGGGAGGAAGGUACAGAGUAUCGUAAACCUCUUUUGCCAGGGAACAAAGGCGGGGACGUGUCCCCGGAUGAGUGUACCUGAAGAAAAAGCAUCGGCAAACUCCGUGCCAGCAGCCGCGGUAAUACGGAGGAUGCGAGCGUUAUCCGGAUUUAUGGGGUUAAAGGGGUGCGCAGGCGGUCUGUUAAGUCAGCGGUAAAAGCCCGGGGCUCAACCCCGACCCGCCGUUGAAACUGGCAGUCUCGAGUUGGAGAGAGGUAUGCGGAAUGCGCGGUGUAGCGGUGAAAUGCAUAGAUAUCGCGCAGAACUCCGAUUGCGAAGGCAGCAUGCCGGCUCCACACUGACGCUGAGGCACGAAAGCGUGGGGAUCGAACAGGAUUAGAUACCCGAGUAGUC